AGUGAACGCUGGCGGUAGGCCUAACACAUGCAAGUCGAACGGCAGCACAGUAAGAGCUUGCUCUUACGGGUGGCGAGUGGCGGACGGGUGAGGAAUACAUCGGAAUCUACUUUUUCGUGGGGGAUAACGUAGGGAAACUUACGCUAAUACCGCAUACGACCUACGGGUGAAAGCAGGGGAUCUUCGGACCUUGCGCGAUUGAAUGAGCCGAUGUCGGAUUAGCUAGUUGGCGGGGUAAAGGCCCACCAAGGCGACGAUCCGCAGCUGGUCUGAGAGGAUGAUCGGCCACACUGGAACUGAGACACGGUCCAGACUCCUACGGGAGGCAGCAGUGGGGAAUAUUGGACAAUGGGCGCAAGCCUGAUCCAGCCAUACCGCGUGGGUGAAGAAGGCCUUCGGGUUGUAAAGCCCUUUUGUUGGGAAAGAAAAGCAGCAGGUUAAUACCCCGCUGUUCUGACGGUACCCAAAGAAUAAGCACCGGCUAACUUCGUG
rnacentral:rRNA from 1 species